AUGAACGCGCCAAAAAGUAACGUAUAGAUUCAAUGCGCUGUGAAUUUUCCUUGUGUCAAGUAGUGUUCUAAUAGGAUUUUGACGGCUUACAGAAUUGUAUUAUGUAGACCUACCAAAACUUGCUUAAGAAACCCUUUGUUUGGUAUUCAGAUAAUAUUUAUAUUUUUCACUGACAGAAAAUGCAAAAUAUUGAUAUAAAGUUAAUGAAAACAUUGAUAUACAAUAUGCAUUGGAUACCUUUGAAGUCAAGCUAUCAAAUGUAUUUCUAGUUAUUUCCUUGUUAUGAAUUCUUCGGUGUAAAAUUGCUAAGCCAGAGGCCACAGCCGUUGAAAAUAUCUUCCUGCAACCUGCCCACCAGAAACGUUUGCUCAGUUUUCACUCCUUCUAUCGAGUUAGCUCCCGUCCCCACCCCCUUCCCAGUCCUGGUGUCCUGUUCACAGGGCAGCAAGACGCACCCAUGAGCUCGUGGCUGGACUUGGCCCGGUGCCGCCCAGGAAGGUUCCAGCCAAACAUGAGGCCCAUGUGUGGUGCAUGAGAAAUGUUUUUGAAUGAAAAGGUAAAAGGCAGGUUGAGAUUGAGGAGAGACUGUUACCCGCUUCCCACUCUGCGCUGAGAAGGGAGAAGGAGGUGACAGCGGAACGGAGCCCUAGGAGGAACGGGAACGCGUCGUGUUCCCGAUGGGACCAGCCAGCAGGUGCAGUCAGGAAACGGGACCCCUGAGCCCCCCAGUGCCUGUGCCCGCCUGCUCUGUGUUCUCAGCCGGGGAGGGGGUGGACAUACGUGGUCUCUAAGGCCCACGUUCACUCAUUUCAUCUUCGCGUCACAGUCCAAGGAAGAUGAUGAAAUCAUGGACUAGUGAUCCAUAAACAUUUUCAAACUCGGAGCCCUGUAGCUGCUGGGCCAGGGCCGAUGUGCGAGGCUUUUAGGUGUUGCCGAGAAGGGCCCACGGCCCUGAUGUCCCUGCCCCCUGGGGUGGGGGGCUCCCGGCACUGAGGGGCUUUAGCCCCUACAUGACCUGGGGGCGAAGGCACUGGUUCCCACCCCGAGUGUGUGCUUCACUGUGAAGCCAGUCACGGGUGUUGGCGCCACUGCCACGCUUUGCGAUGGCCAAGGACCUGGGUCUGAUUUUACGAUCACGUCACUGCUGUACGUGUUGUUUACCGAAGGCCAGACGUACCUGGUUUAUGGUUUACAUUUUCCCUGGCUGCACUGGCAUAAACUGCGGACACAUUUAUGUGAAUGUAAACCAUAUGCGUCUCAGGUUUAAUACGUUUUAAAAUGUUGGAUCUUUUAACAGAUGCAUGCCUGUGUCUCCUGAUAACUCAUCAGUGUCUUAAUUUUGGGGAAGGCUCCUGGAGGCUCUGAGAGGGUUGUAAGGACACACUGGAAACUGGGAAGCCAGGCCCCCAGCAGGUCGGAGGGGAGGCCGUCUGCCUUUGGACCCCCAGGGUGGAGAGCCCCGAUCUGCAGAGCUGGGACAUUCUUUCUCAGGCAUAGUUCUAGUGACAGUGCAGGUUAAUGCAUAUGACCCCGGGUAGGAGUUCCUGUUGAGGCUCAGCGGGUUAAGAACCUGACAUAGUAUCCAUGAGGAUGUGGUUUGAUCCCUGACCUUGCUCGGUGGGUUAAGGAUCUGGCGUUGCUGCAAGCUGCAGCAUAGGUCACAGAUACACCUCAGACCCUGUGUUGCUUGUGGCUGUGGUGUAGGCUGGCAGCUGCAGCUCCAAUUUGACCCCUGGCCCGGGGAACUUCCAUAUGCUGCAGGUGCAGUCCUAAUAAGGAAAACAAAACAAAACAAAACACCAAAAAACCCCAUGCGGGGUAGGUUCUUAGAGGCAUUCUACAGGUGUGAAAAGGUUGAUCUGUAGUUGUUGCUUUAAUUGAGUCCUUGACUAUGGUUUUCUCCUUUAAACCAAGAAGUGGAUGUAUUACAGGUCAUUCUCAUACCAAGGCCUCAUCUCUGGUCGAUGCUUCAAGUAUAGCUCGGCACCAAGCAGCCCAAACCCAGAGCCCCUCCACCCCCACUCGGUUCUCCCAGGGUCUGUGAGUGGUGAGCUGGCAGGGCCAUGCUCCUGCCCACAAACCGCACCCCACAGCCCUUCUCUCUUCCCUGAGAACAUCCAUCAUACACCACCUGGCCAUGUGCUGCCCGUCAGGGGGAGUUCGAGAUCAAGCUGUUACCCAGAUCUCAUAAGAUCCCGUGGGAGGCCGGGCUCAGACUCGCCAGAAGUGCCCCAGGGUCAGCCUUGACUCCAGCCUGUGGAUGCGGCUCUCACUGGCAUUUGCUGGAGGAAGCGCGCGUUGAUGCUCAGUUUGGAAACUUCUGACAUAAGAGUGGCCGAACUUCAAGAGAUGAUGCACUGUUGCUCCAGCAGGAAGAUGCCAGAAGCCGAAACACUGGAUGGAUCUGGAAAGGCUCUGCCGAGCUUUCCAUCUUGUAGCGAAUGGGACCUAACCUUUAGAUCGACCUUCUCCAGACUAAAAUGGGAUGAAAAAAAAAGCAAACCGUAUCAAGAGAAGCCCGGGUGAGUGGAGCCUAUAACAAAUGUGCUAUUGGAGCCUAAAGAAACUUCCAGCCCAGAGUGUAUUCUGUCUGCUUUUAUCACUUAAAGAAGCAUGAAAGACGGGAACUCUGAAACCUUUAGAAAGUGCUGGAUAAAGAGCAGAGGAUUACUGAUGGCUGUGAUAUUAUUGCCAGGGAUCAAUAUGGCAGUCGCAGUUCAAUAAAAAGAAAUUGGCAACCUCUGCUGCCCUGAGAGAUCGCCGCACGCUCUUUCCUGGGUCCUAGUCCCGACACUGCCGAGAUCUUUCACCACCCCGCCGCGGGGGCCCUGGCAGGGGAGGCAUCCCGCAGCCGUUGGCUUGAAGGGGUCUGGAUGGGGCUCUUGCUUGGACCACGCAUCACAGCCGAGAGCAUCCUUAUUCAGGGAACGUGGUCCCAGGAGCCCCACGCGGGAGCUGCUGUGUCCAGUUAAUCAUUUUCUGAUCUGUUUCCCUUGUGAAAUUCAUUACUUUUCAUGGAAACAAAUAUCUGUCAAAAUAUCACAUUAGCCUGGCACUGGAAGAUUCUUAUAUCCUCAGCAUUAAUGACCUUUUUCCGCUGAAGGAGAGCUGAUCAACCUCUCUGAGGAUGCCUUCUGGAUCGUGGGGCUGUUCUCUUGUCCUCAGGUGGUACAUACCCUUAAUUGGUUCAGGAGGCCCUGCUGCUGGGCCCCAACCAGGGGGCCGGUGCGGAGGAGCCAGCACAAGCUCGAAUGCACUUUUCAGGGCAGAUAAAGUCUUCAGAUGAGAGGCAAAACAUCGUGUUACCGCUCGUAAAAAGUGCCAGGUCUUUAAUCUAUGGCUCCACUAACAUGUUCAUUAGAGAACCGGCUGAGACAGAGAGCGUGGGCUUUUGCUGCUGCAGUUGGAUAUUUGUCUCAUAUUUCAUUAGCCGGAAAGUGUGGAAGAGGCCCAGGUCAGAGCAGUUUGGAGAUGAGCCCCCGAACUGGUUUGGCUCGACGCCUGCCCUGGCUCGGGAAGAGGCAGGGGGAUCUGGGUCCAGCCCAAGUUUCUGCCACUGUCUUCUUCUUCCUGCCCCCACCCCGCCCCCCUGCCCCCCGCCCGCUCCACCUCCACGAAGGCCUCCCCCACCCAGAAGGUGGAGCAGCCCAGAAAGGAGAGAUGUGCCCAGGACCGGCCACCAAGCGUCUUGCUUGGUUCUCAGGGUAACACCCGCUCCUUGACUGUUGAAUGAUAACAUCCGGCCACUUAUGAAGCUGAACAGAAGAGGCCUCAGCUCUCCAUCUGAAGUCCUUUGGUCAUGAAAGCCCCGUGUCCGUGGGCUCCAAGCCUGGGGGGCUGUUGGUGUGUCUGGACACCUUCCCUCUCUACAGUGACUGAGGUCCUGGUCCCCCCAGACACUGCCCCCCUCCUCCCCGCUGGCGCCCCAUUCAGCCCACUUUCCCCACUCGGUCCAUUCCUUCUCACACCCCUGUCACCAAGUCACUCUCAAGAGCGCAGCCGUGCCUGUUCCUCGAGGCUGCUGCCGCAACGAAAGCAAUUGCGGACUUGAUUUAACCAAUACGUAGGCUAAGCCACAAAUUUACAGUCAAACUGUUUUCUCUCUGUCUCAUAAACACAUUUCAAUUGAAAAGCACAAUUUCAGACUGGAGCUAAGGCAGACCAUCCAGCUGUACUUAAAUGGAAAUAAAUAGAAACAAAGCACGAGCACUCGCGGGCCGGAGCGAGGCGUCAAAUCCAUUCUGGGGUCCGAGGCGGAGAGUGUAAUUGAUGCCGCCCUGCAGACAGACACAGUUCACCGUCUAACCUGGAGCCACACGGACUGGCGGCAGUGGAGGGAAUGGACCUGGCUUCCCCGGAGUUGUCCUGAUGGGGCGGCUGCUUGUGGCCCAGCCAGUGAUGAUUCCAGAUCAUUCUGGCAAAGGUGAAAGCGGAGAGGUUUUAUACUGAGUCAUGGCCCCAGCUGCCUUCCAGGGCCUGCCUGGGGGUCUGGUGGGGGCCUGGCUCUACUGUUCAGGCCAGUGUGGUCCGGGUUGGGGUGAAAUGUUUGAAGUAAUUAUUAAUUCAUUUGUUCAUAAGUAUUGUUUAGACCAGGCCUUGUGCAAGGCGCAGGGACAGACUAUGAGCAAGACAGACCUUGUGAAGAAUAGAGCCGGGGGGUGGGGGCAGCCAGCGGUCAAGUCAGGAUCAGUUUUGACUCUGUUUCUAUUAAAGCACAGUUGAUUUACAGGGUUGCGCCAGUUUCCACUAGACAGCACGGGGGCCCAGUCACACGUGUACAUACAUUCUUUUUCUCCCAUUAUCUUCCGUCACGCUCUGUCCCAGGAGACUGGAUAGAGUUCCCUGUGCUGUUCAGCAGGACCUCAUGGCUUAUCAAUUCUAAAGGUAAAAAUUUGCAUCUACGAACCCCAAACUCCCCGUCCCUCCCCCUCCCUCCCCCUUGGCAGACACACGUCUGUUCUCUACGUCCCUGAGCCUGCUGCUGUUCGGGAGACAGGUUCAUUUGUGCCCUACCUCAGAUUUUUUAAAAGAUCCCUCUGCUGAGUUGGGAGUUACAGGGGUGGAUGAGGACAAUCAGACGGAGAGGGGGGCAGUCACAGGGACAGGGUGGUGGCAGCUGGGACCCGAACCGUAACGGGAGUCUGGAAGAGACUGAGGCGGGGCUUCUCCAGGGCUCGGCACAGCGUGACCUUCGGGUGGUGGGUGAGGGAGAGACGGGAGUUUGGGGUGAAUUUUAGAGUCCUGGUUUGUCCAGCUCCUUGGGAGGUGGCUCCAGUUCCUAAGGAAAGGGAUCGGGGAGGACCGGGCUGGAGAGAAGAUCGCUGCGUGUGAGCAUGUGUGGCCCCGGGGCGAAGAGAUGCCCGCUGGGCUGUGAGGGGCACGUGGUCUGGGCGCAGAGGAGUCUGGGCUUACUUACGAAUUUAUCAUGAGCCUGGACCCAGAGGAGAAUUCCUGGAGACAGGGUACAGGUGGAGAGAAUAGGCUUGAGAGUCUUGGAUGCCUGGCGAUGGAGGCAGGGCAGCUGAGAGUCCAGGAAGGGGGGGGCUCUUGCCUCCACCCAGGAGGCUUCACAGACGGGGGUCUGGUCUGGGUGCAAAGGACCCUGAAGAAAACCCAUCGGAUGUCACCGUCGCUGGGGAUUUUAAGGAUGACUGCUCAGCUGGAGCGAUGCAGGCCCGAGGCCGAGGGAGCCAGUCGGGUGGCAACAUGUCGUGAAGAAAAGGAGACGUGCAGUAAAGAGGAGGCUGCUGGCGUUCGGCUAAAAUUGAGGCAAAGCAGUUUAAUGUCUAUCAUCACCCCUAACGCAGGAAACUUCGGAUGGAGGAAAGCUUCACCCACUCGCAGCGGAAGCUCGCCCAUCUCAGAAGGUCCCGUCCUCUGAGAACAUGCAGCCCAGCCGUCCAUGCAUGUGCCAUGCUCACCUUGGGGACAGAACCAGGGCCAAGGGGCAGGAGUCUCUGGGGACAUAGAAGAGAAAGAUAAAAAUGUGAGGGGAAGAAAAGGGGGGAGUUCCCAUCGUGGCUCAGUGGUAAUGAACUCGACUAGGAUCCAUGAAGAUGCAGGUUCGAUCCCUGGCCUUGCUCAGUGGGUCAGGGAUCCAGGGUUGCCGUGAGCUGUGGUGUAGGUCACAGACGUGGCUCAGAUCCUGAGUUGCUGUGGCUGUGCUGUAGGCUGGCAGCUGUAGCUCUGAUUCGACCCCUAGCU
rnacentral:lncRNA from 1 species